rnacentral:rRNA from 1 species
AGGACGAACGCUGGCGGCGUGCUUAACGCAUGCAAGUCGAGCGGAAAGGCUCCUUUCGGGGGGUACUCGAGCGGCGAACGGGUGAGUAACACGUGAGUAACCUGCCCUGGACUUUGGGAUAACCCUCGGAAACGGGGGCUAAUACCGGAUAUGACACGCGGAUGCAUGUUUGUGUGUGGAAAGAUUUUUGGUCUGGGAUGGGCUCGCGGCCUAUCAGCUUGUUGGUGGGGUGAUGGCCUACCAAGGCGACGAUCCAUAGCUGGUCUGAGAGGAUGAUCAGCCACAUUGGGACUGAGACACGGCCCAAACUCCUACGGGAGGCAGCAGUGGGGAAUAUUGGACAAUGGGCGAAAGCCUGAUCCAGCCAUGCCGCGUGAGUGAUGAAGGCCCUAGGGUUGUAAAGCUCUUUCAACGGUGAAGAUAAUGACGGUAACCGUAGAAGAAGCCCGGCUAACUUCGUGCCAGCAGCCGC